rnacentral:RNase_P_RNA from 1 species
CGGAAAAUCCGAGGAAAGUCCGGACUCCAUGGGCAGGGGCGCUGGGUAACACCCAGGGAGAGUGAUCUCCGGAAAGGGCCAUAGAAAAUUAGACCGCCUUCGGGCAAGGAUGGAAAGGUGAGGUAAGAGCUCACCGGCUGUCGGGUGACCGGCAGGUCAGGUAACCCCCGUCUGGAGCAAGUCCAAGCAGAAAGGGUCUGAGGAUGCCCACCGAUUCCCUUUCGGGUAGGAUGCUUGA